rnacentral:sRNA from 1 species
CGGUCAGACGAAUUUCUCCCAAUCGGAUGAAGUUCACCCUGGGCCUGGGGUCGCGGCCUACGCUGCCCUACAACCACAUCUACCAGUACCCCUACCCCAGUCCCGUGUCGCCCACGGGCGCCAAGAUGGGCAGCCACCCCGGGGUCCCGGGCACGGCGGGCCACGUCAGCAUCCCGCGCUCAUGGCCCUCGGCACACUCGGUCAGCAACAUCCUGGGCAUCCGGACGUUUAUGGAGCAAACAGGGGCCCUGGCUGGGAGCGAAGGCACCGCUUACUCUCCCAAGAUGGAAGACUGGGCCGGCGUGAACCGCACGGCCUUCCCCGCCACCCCCGCAGUGAAUGGGCUAGAGAAACCUGCCUUAGAGGCAGACAUUAAAUACACUCAGUCGGCCUCCACCCUCUCUGCCGUGGGCGGCUUUCUCCCCGCCUGCGCCUACCCGGCCUCCAACCAGCACGGCGUGUACAGCGCCCCGGGUGGCGGCUACCUCGCCCCGGGCCCGCCAUGGCCGCCUGCGCAAGGUCCUCCUCUGGCGCCCCCCGGGGCCGGCGUAGCUGUGCAUGGCGGGGAACUCGCGGCAGCAAUGACCUU